AUUUGGUCUGACAGCCAUCACAUGAAUCACACACACAGAUCUGGAGAAGAAAGCGGCCAGAAAUGGGGCUUCUGAUGUUGGCGCUGCUGCCCAGCCCUAACCUGUGCUCGUCGUGUCUCAGUUACAGAUGGGGUGGAAAAUCUGAGCUGGUCUGGCCCGAAGCCUAUCCCGGAUCUGGAUUCUCCUUCUCUCUCAGACAGCACGUGAAGUUCUGCUCUGCUUUGCGGUACAGAAAAAUGAGAUACCCCACUUCUGAUUGCUGGAGCUGGGGUGGAGCUGAUGCAUAAAGCAAAGCAGCAUGCAUAGAAGCAGGCCAGAAAGGGAAAGAGAUCAGUGAGAAACUCCUUCUAGGGAAUCAGGAAAAGACAACAGCAGAGGGUAGCGAAUUGGUUUUGCCCAGAAGCAUUUCAGUCCUAAAGCAAAUCCAGAAACCGCUAGAAUGCAGAAGCAAAGAAUCAUGGAAUGGCUUCAGUUGGAAGGGACCUAAAAGAUGGAAGUUCCACCCCCCUCCUCCCCACAGAAGUAAACACAGAAGGACCGAAUCUUGACGGUGUACAGAAAGAGAAGCUCUUACUACAUACAGCUGAGGCUCAGCAACUUGGCUUAGGCAGUAGCUUCUGACCUGAGCAGCACGAAGAGAAUAAACAACACUCAAAAACUGGAAGGAUCAACCUGUCAGUGUGCUAUGGCUGGGUGCACCAGCAAAUCACGACGUGCUCUUCAGUUGCUGCGACAAGAUCUCUUCUGCUGACUGACACCUAGAUCCUUGGAGAAAGAGAAAUGAUCCAGUGAGAGCAGUGCUUCGUGAAGUGCACGGUGACUUAAGACCCACUCCUGCCAGAGGAGCUUGAGGCAGAAAGACAAGAAAGAGGAGAGAUGAAAGAGGCAGAGAUGCUCUUUUUAUUCUCCCCCCUCUCUGUCACUGCAAGAUGGAAGCUGCUGCCCAACAGGAAGAUACAGAAACAUCAGAACAACGAGCCCCUGCAGCCUGAUAGCUUGGAGCUCCGGUGUAAAGGAGGUUCUGCUUUACACCUCUUCAGACCGAGAGAAGCAGAGCUGCACUCAGUAUCAGCGGGUUUUUCCACUACCGCUCUAAAAUCUUCUGGAGUGCUAAAAGGCAGAGAAGAAUCUACGUCUGAUGAUUUGGAGCUCAGAAAGGAGGUGCUCCAGCCUUCAUAAGGUCUUCAGCCUCACCCCGUGGACAUCCAGG
ensembl:lncRNA